UACGUAGGGGGCUAGCGUUGUCCGGAUUUAUUGGGCGUAAAGAGCGUGUAGGCGGCCAGGUAGGUCUGGUGUGAAAACUCGAGGCUUAACCUCGAGAUGUCAUCGGAAACCAUCUGGCUAGAGUCCGGAAGAGGAGAGUGGAAUUCCUGGUGUAGCGGUGAAAUGCGCAGAUAUCAGGAAGAACACCAAUGGCGAAAGCAGCUCGCUGGGACGUAACUGACACUGAGGCGCGAAAGCGUGGGGAGCGAACAGG
rnacentral:rRNA from 1 species